UUUCUUUCAAUAUACAUUAGUGCUUUUGCAGUGUUGGGCUGAACUUUUUCCAGUAUCGUUUUUCUUCGGUGAUUCUUGCCGCAUUGCUCUCGGCUGUUCAUGGCCGAAUUAGGUGUUAGUUAACAUUCUGGUUCUCUGCGACAUUUGUUAAGGACUUAUGUUUGCUGUUUUUAGUUUUAUGGUUUUUGUGCUUUAAAUCCUUAGAUCUAGGUUAAAGUUGAUGAUUUAAGUGAUUGAUUGCUUAAACUAAUUUAUCUCUAGCUCUUUUCUUUGUGAUUUGGUUUGCAGGAACAAUAGUAAAGCUAUUGUCUCUGAUUGAAGGAAAAAAAGAAUCCCCAGAUGAUUAAGAUUUAUUUUAAACUGUUCUUCUUUGUUGGAUCUUCGAUUGAAUAUGUACCUGAUCCAAUGUACGUUAGUAUCGAUCGUUUGGCCGGAAUUAUUAGUAUUGUUGGCAGUUGAUUCAUACUUAAGCUAAGACGCAAGAUGAAGAAGAGGAAUCGUAAGAAUGAGAAGAAGAAGAAGGAUGUUGUGUCGUAGGAGGAGGAAAAAGAAGAAAGAAGAAAAGGCACUUGGGCUAGAAGUUAACAAAGGCCCGUGUAAAUGGGUUUGUUUAGUGUGUGUUAUGUCAAGUCAAGGAUACAACAAUCAUAUAAUAAUAUAAAUAUGGCUGUAUUGGUGUAAUGAAGAAUGUACGUGAGAUUAAGAAGAUAAGGUUGAAGUGGCUAAACCUAAACUCUAAAAGUUCCAUCUGAAUUUAAAAGCAAACACAAUUUUGAGUUUGCGGAGCAAUAGGUUGAAAGGGGUAGAAUUAACAUCGGUAUGUUAUACGAUAAUAUAAAUGAAAAUGUAAUUUUUAACACCUUAAA
rnacentral:lncRNA from 1 species